CCUACGGGAGGCAGCAGUGGGGAAUAUUGGGCAAUGGGAGGAAACUCUGACCCAGCGACGCCGCGUGCGGGAUGAAGGCCUUCGGGUUGUAAACCGCUUUCAGUAGGGAAGAAGCGAAAGUGACGGUACCUACAGAAGAAGCACCGGCUAACUAUGUGCCAGCAGCCGCGGUAAUACAUAGGGUGCAAGCGUUGUCCGGAAUUAUUGGGCGUAAAGAGCUCGUAGGUGGUUCGUCACGUCGGAUGUGAAAAUCUGGGGCUCAACCCCAGACCUGCAUUCGAUACGGGCGAUCUAGAGUGUGGUAGGGGAGACUGGAAUUCCUGGUGUAGCGGUGGAAUGCGCAGAUAUCAGGAGGAACACCAAUGGCGAAGGCAGGUCUCUGGGCCAUUACUGACACUGAGGAGCGAAAGCGUGGGGAGCGAACAGGAUUAGAUACCCUGGUAGUCCACGCCGUAAACGGUGGGCACUAGUUGUGGGAACCUUCCACGGUUUCUGCGACGCAGCUACGUCAUAGUAGCCCGCCGUCGGGAGGUACGAGUCGCGAGAGUAAACGUACGUAAAGUAAAGUUAGUUAGACGUAGAGAGUAGCGACGGACGACGACGAGGGAGGAGG
rnacentral:rRNA from 1 species